AGAGUUUGAUCAUGGCUCAGAUUGAACGCUGGCGGCAGGCCUAACACAUGCAAGUCGAACGGUAACAGGAAGCAGCUUGCUGCUUCGCUGACGAGUGGCGGACGGGUGAGUAAUGUCUGGGAAGCUGCCUGAUGGAGGGGGAUAACUACUGGAAACGGUGGCUAAUACCGCAUAAUGUCGCAAGACCAAAGAGGGGGACCUUCGGGCCUCUUGCCAUCGGAUGUGCCCAGAUGGGAUUAGCUUGUUGGUGGGGUAACGGCUCACCAAGGCGACGAUCCCUAGCUGGUCUGAGAGGAUGACCAGCCACACUGGAACUGAGACACGGUCCAGACUCCUACGGGAGGCAGCAGUGGGGAAUAUUGCACAAUGGGCGCAAGCCUGAUGCAGCCAUGCCGCGUGUAUGAAGAAGGCCUUCGGGUUGUAAAGUACUUUCAGCGGGGAGGAAGGGAGUAAAGUUAAUACCUUUGCUCAUUGACGUUACCCGCAGAAGAAGCACCGGCUAACUCCGUGCCAGCAGCCGCGGUAAUACGGAGGGUGCAAGCGUUAAUCGGAAUUACUGGGCGUAAAGCGCACGCAGGCGGUUUGUUAAGUCAGAUGUGAAAUCCCCGGGCUCAACCUGGGAACUGCAUCUGAUACUGGCAAGCUUGAGUCUCGUAGAGGGGGGUAGAAUUCCAGGUGUAGCGGUGAAAUGCGUAGAGAUCUGGAGGAAUACCGGUGGCGAAGGCGGCCCCCUGGACGAAGACUGACGCUCAGGUGCGAAAGCGUGGGGAGCAAACAGGAUUAGAUACCCUGGUAGUCCACGCCGUAAACGAUGUCGACUUGGAGGUUGUGCCCUUGAGGCGUGGCUUCCGGAGCUAACGCGUUAAGUCGACCGCCUGGGGAGUACGGCCGCAAGGUUAAAACUCAAAUGAAUUGACGGGGGCCCGCACAAGCGGUGGAGCAUGUGGUUUAAUUCGAUGCAACGCGAAGAACCUUACCUGGUCUUGACAUCCACGGAAGUUUUCAGAGAUGAGAAUGUGCCUUCGGGAACCGUGAGACAGGUGCUGCAUGGCUGUCGUCAGCUCGUGUUGUGAAAUGUUGGGUUAAGUCCCGCAACGAGCGCAACCCUUAUCCUUUGUUGCCAGCGGUCCGGCCGGGAACUCAAAGGAGACUGCCAGUGAUAAACUGGAGGAAGGUGGGGAUGACGUCAAGUCAUCAUGGCCCUUACGACCAGGGCUACACACGUGCUACAAUGGCGCAUACAAAGAGAAGCGACCUCGCGAGAGCAAGCGGACCUCAUAAAGUGCGUCGUAGUCCGGAUUGGAGUCUGCAACUCGACUCCAUGAAGUCGGAAUCGCUAGUAAUCGUGGAUCAGAAUGCCACGGUGAAUACGUUCCCGGGCCUUGUACACACCGCCCGUCACACCAUGGGAGUGGGUUGCAAAAGAAGUAGGUAGCUUAACCUUCGGGAGGGCGCUUACCGCUUUGUGAUUCAUGACUGGGGUGAAGUCGUAACAAGGUA
rnacentral:rRNA from 1 species